GCUCUCGUAGCUCAGGGGAUAGAGCAGUGGUUUCCUAAACCGCGAGCGCAUGUUCGAGUCAUGAUGUUUGAGUA
rnacentral:tRNA from 1 species